ACAGAGAAGACAAAAAGAGAAAAGGGAAAGAACAAAGGGGAGCUAGGGUUUGGAGGAGACAUUGAAGAGGUUCUGGAGUUUAAUAGCUCGUGCGUGAUCUAGCCGGAGAUUCUUCCGUGUUUGUUGGAGAUUAGGUAGUGAGUCAAUGCUCUGGUCAUGUAACACUGGGUAGACUAGUCGUGUUGAACUCAUGUUUCUAUUUUGUUAUGUAUUAUGUUAUGACUUGAGGACCUGUUUAUUUGGCUACUUGUUGUUGAGAGGCUUUUGAGCCAAAUAUUCUGAUUAUGGUUUAUUUUAUGUUGAGAUGAA